rnacentral:RNase_P_RNA from 1 species
CGAGAAAGUUGGCCUGUUGAUUCUCCACUUUGGAGGGUAGGAAAGUCCGGACUCCACAGGGAAGCAUAGCGGAUAACAUCCGUCCGCCGCGAGGCGAGGACAAGUGCAACAGAAAGAAUGUACAGUACGGCUGUAGUGAAAUCAGGUAAACUCUAUGCGGAGCAAUGAUAAGUAUAUCGGUUCUUUUGGCUUAGCCAGAAUAGGAGUGCCCGCUCCGAAUGCCGAGGGGUAAUCAGCUCAAGCUAUGCAGCAAUGUAUGGCGUAGAUAAAUAACAGGCAUCUCGGUUUCGAGGUACAGAAUCCGGCUUAUAGACUUUCUCGCGUU